rnacentral:misc_RNA from 1 species
AUCUCCGGACGAUUGGCCGGCAGCUGCUCGAGUACGCCUUAUCCUGCCGGCGGGGUGUAGAAACCCUUGUCGUGGCAGGUCAGGCAGAGCUCGCUGCGCUGGUCACUCCUCCACAGCAGCUUCUCGCCCGUGUUCCCCUUGUUGUGCACCGAGUGGCAAGUGGCACACUCGAGGUUUUCGUUAAAGAGGUGGUCGGCGACGAACGUGUCCACCGUCAGCUGCACGGUACUCGCAUCGCGGAUCUCGAUGUCUGACGCCUGCACCGCGUUGUAGUUGAACCCGAUCGGAUGGUGGUUGAUCAGGGACUGAUUCGUGCCGAUCUGGUAUGCCAAACUCAUGAACGUAUUACCGAUCGACUGCGUCGCCUGGCUGGUGUUGCCCCAGGAAUUCACGGCGACGCUUCCGUCGUGACAGCUCAGGCAGAGGAGCGAGACGCUGCCGGGAGUCAUGCCGACGUCGAUGGCAUUGGGUGCGCUUCGGUCCGACCGUCGGCGCGCCGGGCCCGGGGUCGUACAUCAUGUAUGCUGUGUUCGCCUGCAGCGUGUGGUUCCACAGCGGCAGGUAAUCGAAUUCCGUGGCGGCUUGCGGGCCGUUACACGGCGUCCCGGCGAUCCUGUACGUGUUGUGCGGCGCGUGACAGAAGAUGCAGAUUCUCUGCUGCGGAUCUGUCGGCACCGCAACGUAGGUCAUUCCAUUGUGCGGGUGGCCGAGGUCGUGCGGCGUUUCGUUGAUUCCCACACCCGGCACGUAGGUUCCAGUGUAGGCGAGGGCGGAGGAACCCUGGAACACCCAGCCUGCGAUGACCAGCACUGCCAGCGCUGCGCUUCGCAUGAUCGCUUUCAUCUCGAUUCUCCCUCCGUAGCCUUUCGUCAUUCGCAUUUCGCUCAUCUGCUUGCCAGAGGCAGACAUCACGGUUUGGUCCCGAUGAUGACGUUGUUGCCCGGGGGCACGUUGAGGAGGCUGUCCGGGCCCACGGUGAUCGGCGUCGCCGGGAACGUGAACCUGGUCUUCGUCACGACGACCGCAUAGGCAGCCGGCUUGAGAUCCGCAAACG